AUACAGAGAGUGCAAGCGUUAAUCGGAAUUAUUGGGCGUAAAGCGCGCGUAGGUGGAUACUUUAGUCGGAUGUGAAAGCCCUGGGCUCAACCUAGGAACUGCAUUUGAUACUGGCAGACUAGAGUGUGGUAGAGGGUAGUGGAAUUCCCGGUGUAGCGGUGAAAUGCGUAGAUAUCCGAAGGAAUACCAGUGGCGAAGGCGGCCCCCUGGACCAAUACUGACGCUGAGGUACGAAAGCGUGGGUAGCGAACAGGAUUAGAAACCCCGGUAGUCC
rnacentral:rRNA from 1 species